rnacentral:rRNA from 1 species
AAACUUUUAACAACGGAUCUCUUGGCUCUCGCAUCGAUGAAGAACGCGGCGAAAUGCGAUAAGUAAUGUGAAUUGCAGAAUUCAGUGAAUCAUCGAAUCUUUGAACGCACCUUGCGCCCUUUGGUAUUCCGAAGGGCAUGCCUGUUUGAGUGUCAU